UUGUCUAAUGAAAUAAUAUAUGGUUACUUCAAAGGAGGUAUCAGGUUGAGUGCCAAGGCCAAAACAUUUUUAUUUCUGAGGAAGAGGCGAUUAACUCUAUGCCGGGCCGGGGCGGGCUUCCGGGGCCCGGCCCGAUGGCCACCUAUGCUGUUAGUAUUGUUCCUCCACCACGGGUGGACGAAACAACUGCCUGGUCUACUCCCUCCCCACUCGCUCCCUUCCCGAACCGGCGCCCCUCCUCUUCCUCCUCCGUCCCCAUCCGCCGCCGCCGCUUCCGGUUCCCACGCAGCUGCCUCCUCCCCUUCUUCCUUCGUCGAGCGCCGCGGAAUCCUCCUCCUCCUCCUCUCCCGUCGCCGCCGCCUCUCCUUCCUCCGUCACCGCCGCCAUCGACAUGAUCCGAGCGAGGGCGCCGGGAUCCGGCGGCGGCUCGACGAGAUCCGAUGCCGCUGGGGACCAUGCCGCCGUUGAUGGGCGGAUCCGGCGGCCCCGCCGCGGAUCGUGCCGGCGGCCUCCAUCCUCAUCGGCGUUGCAGCUGUCCCGGUGUCAACCUUGGCCUUGGGUAUGGAGAGGAAAUAAUUCUCAUAGUUGCCAUUGAUGGAAAGCUCGAUAAGAUUACCAUGGCGAGAAGCUUCUUCUCUGAUGACAGCAACUGUGUUAGCUACGCCCUCAGCGCUUGUGUAGCGUGACGAGUAGCAGAGGGUAAUCUUGUUGAGACCCUGAAGGUGCAUGAUGCCUGAGGGGCUUUUAUCUGCUGGGUAAACAUAGAGCGUUAGCUGGAGGUGCUUCAGACAUGGCAUAGCUCCCUCCUGAAAGGUUACCCACGGCGCCCUGCAGUCGAAAUUGAAUUUCUCAA